UACGUAGGGUGCAAGCGUUAAUCGGAAUUACUGGGCGUAAAGCGUGCGCAGGCGGUGAUGUAAGACAGUUGUGAAAUCCCCGGGCUCAACCUGGGAACUGCAUCUGUGACUGCAUUGCUGGAGUGCGGCAGAGGGGGAUGGAAUUCCGCGUGUAGCAGUGAAAUGCGUAGAGAUGUGGAGGAACACCGAUGGCGAAGGCAGCCCCCUGGGUCAACACUGACGCUCAUGCACGAAAGCGUGGGGGAGCAAACAGG
rnacentral:rRNA from 1 species